rnacentral:rRNA from 1 species
CAGUAGCCACGGUAAUACGGAGGGUGCAAGCGUUAAUCGGAAUUACUGGGCGUAAAGCGCACGCAGGCGGUCUGACAAGUCAGAUGUGAAAUCCCCGGGCUUAACCUGGGAACUGCAUUUGAAACUGUCAGGCUGGAGUCUUGUAGAGGGGGGUGGAAUUCCAGGUGUAGCGGUGAAAUGCGUAGAGAUCUGGAGGAAUACCGGUGGCGAAGGCGGCCCCCUGGACAAAGACUGACGCUCAGGUGCGAAAGCGUGGGGAGCAAACAGGAUUAGAUACCCCGGUAGUCCCUGUCUCUUAUAA